AUUUCGUUUUUCAAUAUUUUUUCUUUUAAUAUUGAGAUAAAUAAUUAAAUUAUUUUUUAACUCAUCAAUUAAAUGCAUUUCAAAUGUCUUGGAAUAAAAGAGCUAUAGAACAGAGUGGGAUAAAAAAUAUUUGUCGUAAAAAAAUUAUGGAUGAUAUAUUGGUGCCAUUAAAAAAAGAAAAUGAAUGGAAGAUUUUGAUUGUUGAUGAAUUUGCUAUGAAAGUCAUUUCACAUUGCUUUAAAACUGAAGAAGUCAUGGCAUGCAACAUUGCAUUGAUAGAAAAUCUAGAUGAUAUCAGGGAAAGAAUUCCUUACCUUGCAGCAAUCUAUAUGAUUACACCAUCAAUUCAG